GGCGACCGGCGCACGGGUGAGUAACACGUAUCCAACCUGCCGAUGACUCGGGGAUAGCCUUUCGAAAGAAAGAUUAAUACCCGAUGGCAUAGUUCUUCCGCAUGGUAGAACUAUUAAAGGAUUUCGGUCAUCGAUGGGGAUGCGUUCCAUUAGGUUGUUGGCGGGGUAACGGCCCACCAAGCCUUCGAUGGAUAGGGGUUCUGAGAGGAAGGUCCCCCACAUUGGAACUGAGACACGGUCCAAACUCCUACGGGAGGCAGCAUG
rnacentral:rRNA from 1 species